rnacentral:sRNA from 12 species
UUGCCUAAGGGCUAGUAUUACCCUUAGGCAACUUCGAUAGCGUGUCGCA